UACAGUGAAUUAUUUAAUUCGGCGAAGAUAACAUUAUAUAAAGAACGAGACAAAUUGAUAACAUACUUUUUUAAGUCUCAAACAUAAUAUCCCAGUUUCUUUUUAUAAUAAAAGUCGUAUAUCGCAAUUCAAUUUUGUAAUUGUAUUUAUUUAUAAAGGAUUUCAAACGAAGGAUACAUACUUACGAGUAUAUUACAUCAUAGAAUAAUGUUUUAAAAUAUGUGUGAUCUUUCAAUUAUAGGAGACCAGAUCCAGAUUAACUAAACAGAAUUCAAAGAAGAAGAAGAAAUGUAACAUGAUAUUAACAUAAGAACAAGCAAAAGUGUUAUCAAACAUUAGAUUGCCCAUAAUCUACCUCUGCUCGGGAAGGCAAUACUUUAGAUCUCACCUUAAGUUAUUGGUGGCUGAGCUUUAUGCAGGCUUAUCUGGGAGAUACCUACCCACCAAUUGUCUACUGCCAAACAGUAAGUUAUUGCUGUUUCGGAUUGAUGGACGAAGAUGACCGCCACUCUAUUGCCGUUUCUUUUACGGUGCCGUGUGUUUAUAGUUCCAGGUGUUGCUAUGAAGUCAAGUUAUAGCCACCAUAGAUUAAUCUAUACAAAUAAAUAAAAUUGAAGUGUC